UACAGAGGGUGCAAGCGUUGUUCGGAAUUACUGGGCGUAAAGGGCUCGUAGGCGGCCAACUAAGUCGGACGUGAAAUCCCCAGGCUCAACCUGGGAACUGCGUCCGAUACUGGAUGGCUUGAAUCCGGGAGAGGGAUGCAGAAUUCCAGGUGUAGCGGUGAAAUGCGUAGAGAUGUGGAGGAAUACCGGUGGCGAAGGCGA
rnacentral:rRNA from 1 species